rnacentral:rRNA from 1 species
GAUGAACGCUGGCGGCGUGCCUAAUACAUGCAAGUCGAGCGAACAGACGAGGAGCUUGCUCCUCUCACGUUAGCGGCGGACGGGUGAGUCACACGUGGAUAACCUACCUAUAAGUCUGGGAUAACUUCGGGAAACCGGAGCUAAUACCGGAUAAUAUCUUGAACCGCAUGGUUCAAUAGUGAAAGACGGUUUUGCUGUCACUUAUAGAUGGAUCCGCGCCGCAUUAGCUAGUUGGUAAGGUAACGGCUUACCACGGCGACGAUGCGUAGCCGACCUGAGAGGGUGAUCGGCCACACUAGAACUGAGACACGGUCCAGACUCCUACGGGAGGCAGCAGUAGGGAAUGUGCCGCAAUGGGCGAAAGCCUGACGGAGCAACGCCACGUGAGUGAUGAAGGUCUUCGGAUCGUAAAACUCUGUUAUUAGGGAAGAACAAAUGUGUAAGUAACUAUGCACGUCUUGACGGUAACUAAUCAGAAAGCCACGGCUAACUACGUG